UCCAAGAAGUGGACCAUUUCUCUUCGGUGAAUAUGUCUAGGAAGGCUGGGAGGACAUGUGCCAUCCUCAGCUGUUCUAAUAACAGCGGAAAACUCCAACUUUGGAACAAAACGAUAUGCAAAAUACACAGCCUCUUACUUCACGUGGACUGUCCAUGUUUUAGACCGUACGGUUUACACAGACUUCCUGGGUGUGCCGAGGACCAAGGUGUUCGCCACAGGUGGCUAAAAAAUAUCAACAGAAAGGACUUUGUUGCCAAUAAAAACAGUACGGUGUGUGGAAUACACUUCCCUGAUGGCAGACCAACGAAGGAACACCCAUACCCUGUAUUGAAUAUGGGAUAUGAACAUCAUGAAACACUGUCAUCUGGAAGUUUGGGAUAAGCAGGGCCACAGCCUGUGAGAUCUUCACAAUGUGGAGACCAGUACUUACAAAGUUCAUGAGAGAAAAAGUUAUUGCUUGGCUGCCUAGAGAUACUCUGAAAAGAAUAAGACCUCAGAGUUUUAGUGAAAACUACGCUAAAGCAACAUGCAUCAUAGACUGCACAGAAAUAUUUGUACAAAGGCCGAAGAACUUAAGGAAACAAUCACAAACAUACAGCAACUACAAACAUCAUAACACCUACAAAGUUCUAUAUUGCAUAGCCCCCAAUGGUUAUGUGAUGUUUGUGUCA